rnacentral:rRNA from 1 species
UACAGAGGUCUCAAGCGUUGUUCGGAUUAUUGGGCGUAAAGGGUGCGUAGGCGGCGCGGUAAGUCGGGUGUGAAAUCUCGGGGCUUAACUCCGAAACUGCAUUCGAUACUGCCGUGCUUGAGGACUGGAGAGGAGACUGGAAUUUACGGUGUAGCGGUGAAAUGCGUAGAUAUCGAUAAGGAAGACCAGUGGCGAAGGCGGGUCUCUGGACAGUUCCUGACGCUGAGGCACGAAGGUCAGGGGAGCAAACGGG